rnacentral:misc_RNA from 1 species
GGCAGAGUACAGUAGGCUGACCUUGAGCUUAUUCAUCCACCUACUGGUCACCAAAUAUAGGUAAAUUCCCAGCAUUGUUUGCCUGACAUGAUUUUAUUGAUCCAAUUUCUUUUGUAAUUCCUGAUGAUAGGUGGACAAAAAUCAAGGAAGGGGAAAUUAGAAGAGCUCCUAUGUUAGGAUUCGGAGAUGGCAUCCACUUUAAAUUCAGUGAGAAGGAAUAGAGAGAAAACCAUUUCCGUCAAAUAUACAUUCUUAUCUAUGUCAUUGAUGUAUAUGCAGUCAUCUCAAAUAUUUCUGC